AUUGAACGCUGGCGGCAGGCUUAACACAUGCAAGUCGAGCGCGCGGCGGACGGGUGAGUAAUUUCUGUGAAACUGCCUGAUGGAGGGGGAUAACUACUGGAAACGUUAGCUAAUACCGCAUACCAUCAGAUGUGCCGCGAUGGGAUUAGAUAGUAGGUGGGGUAAUGGCUCACCUAGGCGACGAGUCCUAGCUGGUCUGAGAGGAUGACCAGCCACACUGGAACUGAGACACGGUCCAGACUCCUACGGGAGGCAGAAGUGGGGAAUAUUGCACAAUGGGCGAAAGCCGGAUGCAGCAAUGCCGCGUGUGUGAAGAAGGCCUUCGGGUGGUAAAGCACUGUCAGCGAGGAGGCGUUACUCGCAGAAGAAGCACCGGCUAACUCCGUGCCAGCAGCCGCGGUAAUAC
rnacentral:rRNA from 1 species